GUAGGGAAUAUUGGGCAAUGGAGGCAACUCUGACCCAGCCAUGCCGCGUGCAGGAUGACGGCCCUCUGGGUUGUAAACUGCUUUUAUACGGGAAGAAAAAAUACUACGUGUAGUAUACUGACGGUACCGUAAGAAUAAGGAUCGGCUAACUCCGUGCCAGCAGCCGCGGUAAUACGGAGGAUCCAAGCGUUGUCCGGAUUUAUUUGGUUUAAAGGGUGCGUAGGCGGAUCUUUAAGUCAGUGGUGGAAGCCUGCAGCUUAAAUGUGGAAUUGCCAUUGAAGAUGAAGAUCUUGAAUGUGGUUAAAGUAGGCGGAAUGUAUCAUGUAGCGGUGAAAUGCUUAGAUAUGAUACAGAACACCGAUAGCGAAGGCAGCUUGCUGAACCAUUAUUGACGCUGAGGCACGAAAGCGUGGGGAGCGAACAGGAUUAGAAACCCCAGUAGUCC
rnacentral:rRNA from 1 species